AUUCCCCCAGACCGUGGUCUAAACAAUAUUAUUCACGAGUUAUAAACAACCCCUAUGCAUCAAUAUUAAUGAUAACCCUGUGGAAAUUGCCAUAAGUGAGAGAUACAAUAGGCUACUUGCACAAGCACUUCCUGAUUCGCCGUAAUACAGCUCAUCAGCUUCCGGUUCCAAGAUGGCGACGUUCUACACCCGGUGUUUACAGGAGCUGCCGACAAUAAAUAUCACAGAUGUGCAUCGUUUAUGUCGGGAAACAAAAACUCCGACAAGCAGAUUGGAGAAGGGGUUUAGGCUGUAUGCUUCGACCUACAUUCACAGCUACGAAGAUCAAGCUUUGUGAUUCAGCAGCCAAGGGAUGAAAAAAGAAAGAGUUAAUCUAUGGGCUGGAGCAGCUGUCUCUGAGAGGAAAAGAAAAAAAGAAUAGCUCGAACUGAAAGAAAAAGAAGACUGC
ensembl:lncRNA